rnacentral:lncRNA from 1 species
GUCAACUAUGCUCCCUGCAAGAGGAGAUCUCAGUGACACAUUUUCAUGGCCACCACAGUUCACUCUUCGCAUCAUAGCCUUACUUUUGAGAGAAGCUCCUCCAGGGCUCCCACGGAUCUUACCUCCUAAGGAAGAUCUUAGAAAAGGGAGGUUAGUGGUAUGAGCUAAAGCCCCCAUUGCUGCAGCUGGUACUCCUCCCACCGCCUCUAUUAUCCAUUCUCAAUUUCCCUCAUCUUCAUCUAUUGCCUUGGCCCACUUUGGUGCUUUACUUUAUUGUGUGAGCCAAACCUUUAGUCUUGAGGCCUUGGCAGUUACAUCCUUUUUGGCCGGGGUUGUUUCAAGUCCAGUUACAACAGCACAAGGGAGUACCAGGAGGUGUCCAAGUGGAUCACUUGGGUUCCACACCUCUUCCUCCCUGUCCCAUUGUGUAAAAGCAGCUCUACCUCCCCUGCUGUCAGGAUUGAUACCCUUUUCAUAAUGAUGACUCCUCUUCUCACCUACCGGUCCCCAGACAUAAGACUCUCCUAUUCCUUUUCGAAAGUCAAAAACAUUUCAUAACAACUUUUUAAAAUUUAAAAUUGAAUCAAGCCUAAUUUUUUAAUGUGAAGGGAUACAUAGCUGCUAUUAAUUUUAAUGGAGGAAAAUUUUGGUAUAAAUUAUAGAAUAUCCACUGUAUUUAAUCUGAUAAUCAAGGUAGAAAUGAAAUAAUCACCAUCUCUCUACAUUAGGAAUAUUUAUUCUUUUUUUCUUGUAUAUGUAGGGAACUACACAGGGGCUUAAAAUUUUAUUGAAAAACAGAACAUAUAUGAGCCUCAAAAUCCUCAAAAAAAGAAAAAAGGUAAAUAAAACGGCCAUUUGAGGAUUAAACUAGAAAAAUCUGCACAUAAUGAAGAUUAGCCAUCUGUAAGACAAAAUCAAUGAACUGUCUGGGAUCUAAGACUAAACCAAAGGACUGCAAGACUGGAAUCAGAUGAGUCAGAAAAUGAAGCCAAAUUAACUGUCUUACCCUUGCUGUAAAACACCUAUGUGAAGACAAGGCAAAUGGUGAGGCCAAAAAGGAAGACAGG